CCUACGGGUGGCAGCAGUGAGGAAUAUUGGUCAAUGGCCGGAAGGCUGAACCAGCCAUGCCGCGUGAAGGUCAGUGCCCUAUGGGCGUUAAACUUCUUUUGUGCGGGAGCAAUAAUGGUCACGUGUGGCCAGACGAGAGUACCGUACGAAUAAGCAUCGGCUAACUCCGUGCCAGCAGCCGCGGUUAUACGGGGGAUGCAAGUGUUAUCCGGAUUUAUUGGGUUUAAAGGGUGCGUAGGCUGUGAGGUAAGUCAGCGGUGAAAUGCCCCCGCUCAACGGGGUGAAGUGCCAUUGAUACUGCCUGGCUGGAAUGCGGAUGCGGUGGGAGGAAUGUGUGGUGUAGCGGUGAAAUGCAUAGAUAUCACACAGAACACCGAUUGCGAAGGCAUCUCACGAAUCCGCGAUUGACGCUGAUGCACGAAAGCGUGGGUAUCAAACAGGAUUAGAUACCCUUGUAGUC
rnacentral:rRNA from 1 species